GUCUAUCUCAUAUAUUAGUUGAAUGAACUUUUGCACGAUAUUCUAGUUUUUCGAGUAUCACCUAUACACCCCCUGUGUUAACUGACAUCAAUGUGAACCUGUACUAAUUUGCAAUGUACGUCAGGCAUCCAAUUUAUGCGGGUACCAACCACUCGUGGCCCUGACCUCAUUCCCAUAUAAAAUCAAAAUAAAAUAGAAGAGUCAUGACUGCUUGAAGUGUGACAUAGCUUUCCAUGUGCAGAUCCAAAUGACAAGCACAGUUUCAGUGCCAGUCAAUCAUAAUUAAGGCCUAGCACAUAAAUUCUGUUUGUCGUUUGAAGGGUUCCAUAAAGGGUACACCUAACUUCAUGCAGUCAUGCCUCCUCCAUUUUAUUCUUUGUAAAUCAAUGGAAACAUUGUCAGGGUGCUCAAUACAUUAAGUCAGAAUGAUUUUUAAAU